GAAGUUGCCGCUUGGGAUGCCCUCCUUCAGGUCAUGGCCCUCCUACCUAUCGACGGCGUCGACACCCCGGAUGCCACUUCUUGGCGUUUGGAGCCUUCCGGCUGCUUCUCCACCAAAUCCCUCUACGCGGCCAUCGCCCCCUCGCCGGCCUUCGAGCCCUUUAGUUUGAUUUGGGACAUCCGCCUACCCCUGAAGAUCAGGAUCUUCCUGUGGCAAUGGAUUCGCGGCCGCCUCCCGUCUGGCGUGGAGGUCCUUAAGCGUAAUGGACCUGGGGAUGGGAUGUGCCCC
rnacentral:rRNA from 1 species